UUCAUGUCUAACAGGAUGCUGAAGAAUGCUGGAAACAAAUUCUAUACACACUUUCACAAUCUCUAACUUUCAAAGAUUCAAAAGAUAAACGAGGAACAGAAGAAGCAAAUCCGCAAAAAUGAACGUGUUCUUAAAGUUGCUGAGAACAAGCCAAACAUGAAGGCCUCAAUCGAUGGAGUAAGGUUUGUUUCAACUUGACACUAAUAGAUUCAGAGACCUUUUUUAAAGUAUUCAUAAUCUCAGGGACUGAUUUGAGAGCGUCCUACAAAGUCGGACUAAUUUGGUGGUUUACUCAAUACGUUUAAAAGCUGAAACAUUAACUGCUGAUGUCAGUGAUAUCAGUUCAAUUGUCAGCAUGAGUGAUAGGAUAGUAAGAUCAGCUCCAGGUAAUGGAUCCAGAUCAACUGUUGGUUGUCCCUGAUGAGCAAGUUCAGCUUAAAAAUGUCAAGGGAAGUUCGGAUACCCCUGCUGAGCAAAUUCAGCUUGAAAAAGUCGAGGGUGGUUCGGCAACCGUGAAGCUUAUUGUUUCUGCGCAGCAAACCAACCCCAAACAGUGUUGCUGGAAGACUUAGGUCUAGGACAAAAAAUCCUUGAUGAGGAAAAUUUCCUUAAUCCAACCCAGGGUAUGUUGAAGAGAACAUUCAACAUUGCAUUUUGAUGUUAUCAAAGUUGAUAAUUUGGUAAGAAAACCUGUUUUGGCAUAGUAAUAGUUUUGUAUCAGUAUGUGAAACACGUUAAGUAUCAUAGUUAAUUUUAAUUAAAAGGUGUAGUAUUUAUUUUGUGCAUUGUCUUAGAAAAAUUAAGAACAAGAAACUUUAAGAUUAUCCAAUGUAUCCUCGCAUGAGCUAAGUACCUGUGAUGCAACUUCU